rnacentral:rRNA from 1 species
ACGAACGCUGGCGGCGUGCUUAACACAUGCAAGUCGCACGGUAAGGCUCCAGCUUGCUGGGGUACACGAGUGGCGAACGGGUGAGUAACACGUGGGUGACCUGCCCUGCACUUCGGGAUAAGCCUGGGAAACUGGGUCUAAUACCGGAUAGGACCAUGGUGUGGAUACUGUGGUGGAAAGUUUUUUCGGUGUGGGAUGGGCCCGCGGCCUAUCAGCUUGUUGGUGGGGUAAUGGCUUACCAAGGCGGCGACGGGUAGCCGGCCUGAGAGGGUGGACGGCCACAUUGGGACUGAGACACGGCCCAGACUCCUACGGGAGGCAGCAGUGGGGAAUAUUGCACAAUGGGCGGAAGCCUGAUGCAGCGACGCCGCGUGGGGGAUGACGGCCUUCGGGUUGUAAACUCCUUUCACCAUCGACGAAGGGUUUCUGACGGUAGAUGGAGAAGAAGCACCGGCUAACUACGUG